AACGCACCUUGCGCUCCUUGGCAUUCCGAGGAGCAUGCCUGUUUGAGUGUCAUUAAAUUCCUCAAUCUCAUUCCUCUGGUUGGAGGGGUGGUAGGUUGGAUUUGGAAGCUUGCUGGCAUAUAUGUCAGCUCUUCUGAAAUGGAUUAGCAGGUGAAUCUACUCCAUGUGAGUGAGACCUGCAGCUUGGUAUUGAUAGUUGUCGUACCAGUUGCCAGUCUAGCUACUUGGUGUCAUCAGCUUUUAACCAUGUUUCUCCUGUAGAGACACUUUUGACAAUUUGACCUCAAAUCAGGUAGGACUACCCGCUGAACUUAA
rnacentral:misc_RNA from 1 species